GACGAACGCUGGCGGCGUGCUUAACACAUGCAAGUCGAACGGAAAGGCCCUGCUUUUGUGGGGUGCUCGAGUGGCGAACGGGUGAGUAACACGUGAGUAACCUGCCCUUGACUUUGGGAUAACUUCAGGAAACUGGGGCUAAUACCGGAUAGGAGCUCCUGCUGCAUGGUGGGGGUUGGAAAGUUUCGGCGGUUGGGGAUGGACUCGCGGCUUAUCAGCUUGUUGGUGGGGUAGUGGCUUACCAAGGCUUUGACGGGUAGCCGGCCUGAGAGGGUGACCGGCCACAUUGGGACUGAGAUACGGCCCAGACUCCUACGGGAGGCAGCAGUGGGGAAUAUUGCACAAUGGGCGGAAGCCUGAUGCAGCAACGCCGCGUGCGGGAUGAAGGCCUUAGGGUUGUAAACCGCUUUCGCCUGUGACGAAGCGUGAGUGACGGUAAUGGGUAAAGAAGCACCGGCUAACUACGUG
rnacentral:rRNA from 1 species